GGAUGAACGCUGGCGGCGUGCCUAAUACAUGCAAGUCGAGCGAACAGACGAGGAGCUUGCUCCUCUGACGUUAGCGGCGGACGGGUGAGUAACACGUGGAUAACCUACCUAUAAGACUGGGAUAACUUCGGGAAACCGGAGCUAAUACCGGAUAACAUGUUGAACCGCAUGGUUCAACAGUGAAAGACGGUCUUGCUGUCACUUAUAGAUGGAUCCGCGCCGCAUUAGCUAGUUGGUAAGGUAACGGCUUACCAAGGCAACGAUGCGUAGCCGACCUGAGAGGGUGAUCGGCCACACUGGAACUGAGACACGGUCCAGACUCCUACGGGAGGCAGCAGUAGGGAAUCUUCCGCAAUGGGCGAAAGCCUGACGGAGCAACGCCGCGUGAGUGAAGAAGGUCUUCGGAUCGUAAAACUCUGUUAUUAGGGAAGAACAAAUGUGUAAGUAACUAUGCACGUCUUGACGGUACCUAAUCAGAAAGCCACGGCUAACUACGUG
rnacentral:rRNA from 1 species